rnacentral:tRNA from 1 species
CUAUAGCUCAGCUGGUAGAGCAACUGAUUUGUAAUCAGUGGGUCGUAGGUUCAAGUCCUAUCUCCG